rnacentral:rRNA from 1 species
UACGUAGGUGGCGAGCGUUGUCCGGAUUUAUUGGGCGUAAAGCGAGCGCAGGUGGUUUAUUAAGUCUGGUGUUAAAGGCAGUGGCUCAACCAUUGUAUGCAUUGGAAACUGGUAGACUUGAGUGCAGGAGAGGAGAGUGGAAUUCCAUGUGUAGCGGUGAAAUGCGUAGAUAUAUGGAGGAACACCGGUGGCGAAAGCGGCUCUCUGGCCUGUAACUGACACUGAGGCUCGAAAGCGUGGGGAGCAAACAGG